AAAACGUCUGCUUCCGGUCAGACUUUCUCCCCUCUCUCUCACACAUUCUCUGCCCCUACGAGUUCGUAUUGCUCUGUUUCUCGAGGUUUCUCUCCCUUUCCCUUAAAGCGAUGGAGGGGAUUGGAGGAAGAGGACGUUCUGCGCCUGCCCAGCGGUUUGCGGCACAGGGUCGACCAACUGGAAGGAGCCUAAAUUGACGGAGCCCAUGUGCCCGGGAAAAGGCGGGAAACCGAGGAGGCCAAGGCUCGCACGUGCGGCUCGUGGCUCCCUGCACUCUCCGCAGCCGCUUCUGGGUUAGCGCUGGCCUGAGGCGUCCGGAACGCAGGAGCAAGUGUUCCCCCCGCCCUGGGACGCAGAGCGCAGGGCGAGCAUUGCUCAGCCCUCAGAAACAGCUUGGGCCUUUGUGGAGACGGCCGGCUCUGAGGGGAAAGCCCGCCACUGCCGGCUCUCAGGCCCGGGGCUCUGUGGUACUUACCUGUCAUCGCUCCAGAGGAGCCGCGGGCAGUCACCUGCCAUGCGGUUUCCAUUCAGCCUUGACUUUGGCACAGAGUUCGGCAGCCCUAUCCAGCCCCCUCUCCCAAGCUUCUGUACGCCAUCAAACAGUCAUUCCGUGGCACUGAGCGCCGUGGAGGCACCUGGCCGGGGAGCGAGUGUUCCUGGUGGCAGAGGCUGUGAGGGCCCCGGAUGCUGAGCUUGUCUACACCACUCUGAAAGUUUUAUGCAUCACUUCUGUGGUCCUGUGGAAGUAGCCAGCACUAUCCUCCUGUCUAGCACUUGCUAUACCGACGGGGACGGAAAAACGGAUCAAGAUGUAGCACUUUCAGCACCAUAUCUGCCUGAUUGCCACCAUGUCACAACCUGGUGAUAAUUGACUAAACCUCUGAAA